UGCGUAGGCGGCUUUUUAAGUCGGAUGUGAAAUCCCCGGGCUCAACCUGGGAACUGCAUUCAAAACUGACAAGCUAGAGUAUGGUAGAGGGUGGUGGAAUUUCCUGUGUAGCGGUGAAAUGCGUAGAUAUAGGAAGGAACACCAGUGGCGAAGGCGACCACCUGGACUGAUACUGACACUGAGGUGCGAAAGCGUGGGGAGCAAACAGGAUUAGAUACCCGCGUA
rnacentral:rRNA from 1 species